rnacentral:rRNA from 1 species
AACGAACGCUGGCGGCGCGCCUAAUACAUGCAAGUCGAGCGAGAAGACGUAGCAAUACGUUUGUAAAGCGGCGAACGGGUGAGGAAUACAUGGGUAACCUACCCUCGAGUGGGGAAUAACUAGCCGAAAGGUUAGCUAAUACCGCGUACGCUCCUUGGACUUCGGUUCAGGGAGGAAAGCGAUACCGUGGGUAUCGCGCUCUUGGAUGGGCUCAUGUCCCAUCAGCUUGUUGGGAGGUAACGGCUCACCAAGGCUUCGACGGGUAGCUGGUCUGAGAGGGCGAUCAGCCACACUGGCACUGCGACACGGGCCAGACUCCUACGGGAGGCAGCAGUAAGGAAUAUUGCGCAAUGGGCGAAAGCCUGACGCAGCGACGCCGCGUGGGGGA